rnacentral:tRNA from 1 species
UAAUAGAAAGUAAAACUUACACUCAAUUUCGACUUGACAUAUGGGUUAAUAACCCGCUAUUAG